AGAGUCGUUUGCAGUGUGGCUGAGCCUCCCGUUUGGAUUCUGUGUGCUGAGGAAUGGAUUUGGUGUGCGGUAACGACGUCACGGGAUUCGACUGUGUCGAGAUGCCGUGUGCUGGGUAGUGGCUCUCCUGUGGGUCACGGAGCUCCUGCAGGUUGGGUAGUUGUGGAUGAGAGCAGGUACUUGCUCACAUGAUGACCCUCCACCUCCCCACCCCCGCUGGAGGAUUAAUGGCAAAGAAGACGAGGUCACGGAUUUUCAGCUUUUUGGGAAAACUUGCUGUCAUCCAAUGGAGUGGGUCUCACUAGGAUCGCUUUAUUUUCUGUUCA